UGGGGAAUAUUGGGCAAUGGGCGCAAGCCUGACCCAGCAACGCCGCGUGAAGGAAGAAGGCUUUCGGGUUGUAAACUUCUUUUAUUAGGGACGAUAAUGACGGUACCUAUUGAAUAAGCUCCGGCUAACUACGUGCCAGCAGCCGCGGUAAUACGUAGGGAGCAAGCGUUAUCCGGAUUUACUGGGUGUAAAGGGCGUGUAGGCGGGACUGCAAGUCAGAUGUGAAAACUAUGGGCUCAACUCAUAGCCUGCAUUUGAAACUGUAGUUCUUGAGUGCUGGAGAGGCAAAUGGAACUCCUAGUGUAGCGGUGAAAUGCGUAGAUAUUAGGAAGAACACCAGUGGCGAAGGCGAUUUGCUGGACAGUAACUGACGCUGAGGCGCGAAAGUGUGGGGAGCAAACA
rnacentral:rRNA from 1 species